GAGGGUAUAGUUCAAAUGGUAGAGCACAUGCUUAGUAUGCACAAGGUCCUGGGGUCAAUCUCCAGUACCUCCA
rnacentral:tRNA from 1 species